rnacentral:rRNA from 1 species
ACUUGAUUUCUUUGCUGGCGACCGGCGCACGGGUGAGUAACACGUAUCCAACCUACCCUUUACUCGGGAUAGCCUUUCGAAAGAAAGAUUAAUACCCGAUAGCAUAAUGAUUCCGCAUGGUUUCAUUAUUAAAGGAUUCCGGUAAAGGAUGGGGAUGCGUUCCAUUAGGUUGUUGGUGAGGUAACGGCUCACCAAGCCUUCGAUGGAUAGGGGUUCUGAGAGGAAGGUCCCCCCACAUUGGAACUGAGACACGGUCCAAACUCCUACGGGAGGCAGCAUG